rnacentral:rRNA from 1 species
UACAUGGGGUGCAAACGUUGUUCGGAUUCAUUGGGCGUAAAGGGCGCGUAGGCGGCGGGGUCAGUCGGGUGUGAAAUCUUGGGGCUUAACCCCGAAACGGCACUCGAAACUGCCCGGCUGGAGGGCCGGAGAGGAGAUCGGAAUUCACGGUGUAGCAGUGAAAUGCGUAGAGAUCGUGAGGAAGACCCGUGGCGAAGGCGGAUCUCUGGACGGCUAAAACUGACGCUGAGGCGCGAAGGCCAGGGGAGCAAACGGG